rnacentral:sRNA from 1 species
UAAAUUUGUUAUUUUAUUUGACCAUUGCUUCCAUGCUUAUCCUAUUAUUUGUGUGGACUUCAACUCAAAAGCUGCUGGUUCCAACUCAAAAACAAUCAGAAACUCCGAAGGACAUGUCGAAACCACAAUUGGCGCAUCCACGUUUUACGACAAAAACUCUGAAUUUCUGGUCUGACCCUUGGGAUGUUGGAGCUGAUGAUGCUGCUGGGGCAAUCCCGGGAUUCCAAAAGAACAACAAAGACUGGGUGAUUAAUCAGCCGACUUUGAGAGCGUGGAAAUCUGCGCGCUUUGGUGAUGGAUCACUUUAUACUACUGAGAGUCUCCAGACCGAGUCCAAUGUAAUGAACAAAUAUUCUCCAAUGGGCAUAUUGUCGUGUUUGUAUUUUUUGUUAGGUUCGAGAUAUCCUUGCAGAUUUAUGCUGACGUUAUGCUAUUGACUCGACUUUUGAUGUUGAUCGAGUGCACAUGUAAAUUAUUGGCUCGCAAUAGACUUCUUCACAUUUUAUGAAUAAACAAUGAUUUAGAACCUUU